rnacentral:rRNA from 1 species
GACGAACGCUGGCGGCGCGCUAACACAUGCAAGUCGUGCGGUGUGGAAGGCGAAGUCUUACGACAAGCCUUCGACACAGCGGCGAACGGGUGAGUAACACGUGGGUAAACGUGCCCCUCAGACGGGAACAACAGCGGGAAACUGCUGCUAAUGCCCGAUGGUCCGGGAGAGCCGCAUGGCUUUUCCGGUAAAGCUCCGGCGCUGAGGGAUCGGCCCGCGGCGGAUUAGCUUGUUGGUGGGGUAACGGCUCACCAAGGCGACGAUCCGUAGCCGGUCUGAGAGGAUGGCCGGCCACACUGGGACUGAGACAUGGUCCAGACUCCUACGGGAGUUAGCAUCAGGGAAUCUUGCGCAAUGGGCGAAAGCCUGACGCAGCGACGCCGCGUGAGGGAUGAAGGCCUGCGGGUCGUAAACCUCUGUCAGGAGGGACGAACACCAUGACGGUACCUCCUGAGGAAGCCCCGGCUAAUUACAUG